UCACUUGAAAUCCAUUUGCAACGCUCAAGCUUACUUCAUUCUCACUUGGUCUCCGUUUGCUUAUGAACCCCUGCAAGGAAUUCGCAAUAUGAAUACUAGCUCCCGAGUCUAACCACCAAGAAUUCAAAGGUACAUCUACUAAAAAAGACUCAAAACAAACUAAGGCCAAGGGAAUACCUGGAGAACUCUUCUUCUUUUCCAACCAGUCUUGAAUUUAAAACAAUCUUUCUGCCAGUGACCCUUCUUUUUACAGAACUUGCAUUGAUCAUUUUUCUUUAUAACUCCUUUGGGACCACUAAAAUUUUUAUUCUGUUGACUUCGGUGAGACUUAUUACCCUUACGAAACUUAGGUUUAUGAUUAUGAGAAGGCCCAUUAUUCUGGGAUGGCUGAAAAGCUAAUUGCAUAGUUUCAACAGUUUCACGGCGCAUCCUAUACUCUUCUUAGGCACACAUUGCUAUGAGGUCAUUCAAAUUCCACUUAUCCCGCUGAGCAUUGUAAGCAACCUUAAGCUGAUUAAACUUGCUAGGAAGGCUAUUCAAAACAUAAUAGACUAGGAAAGGCUUCGCAAUGGGAAUGUCAAGAGCCUUUAGCUUAGAUGAUAUAUUUAUCAUUUUCAUGACAUGCUCCCUAACACCACUUGUACCAUCAUAUUUCAUGCUCAUAAAUUUAUCCAUCAGAUCCUCAGUUUCGGCUUUAUCAGACUCAAUAAAUUUUUCUCCUAUCGCAUCCAUAAAACUUUUAGCAUUUUCAUUAUCAGGGAUGGCACCUAGAAUGGAAUCAGAUAUCGAUCGCUUAAUGAUUUUCAAACAGAGUUUGUUAACCCUUUCCCACUUUUCAUGCUCAGCUACAUAUUCAACGAUACUCUUAUCUGUGGGUUUUUCAAGCUUUUUCUCCAUUGCAAAAUCCAAGUCCAAAAGAUCAAGUGCUAUUUCUACGUCUCGUUUCCAUCUCACAUAGUUAUUCCCAGUCAAAGUUUCAAUAGCAGACAAUUGAUUCGAAAGAGAUGAGGCAUUAUAAACUGUGGAAACAUAAAAUAUCACUCUUAAUAUCAUCCAAACUUAAUGCAUGCAAUCAAAUGGAUGAUAAAAUAUCCAACUAAUUAAUAUGAGCUAUUAAUUAGAUAAUCCGUAAUUUAAAUCGAAACAUAUAAAUUUUAUUACGGUAAGAGCCUAGAUGCAUCAUCAUAAAGUCACCUUUGGGUAGACAAUACAACAUGCUAUAAGGUACUUUUAAAACACAUCAUGUAGCUAGUUAACAAAAUUACACUGGUUUUCGAAAUACCAACACCUUUGGACAGAAGGAAAUUUCUAAACCAAAAUAAGCUCAUUAACUUUCUCAUGCCAUUUUCCAAAAAUAUUACAUAUAAUAACACCUUUGGGCAAGAUAUUAUAUGCAAUAAAUUAAAAUUGUUGCGCAAAAUAUAUAUUUAUUUAUUGCAGAGAAAUCGAAUAAAUAACAAUGAGCGUGCCACUUUGGCAGCUACCACCCAUUUUUAUUUCAAAAUAUUUCUCUCAUAGUGGGAAAACAAGAAUCGUCUCAAUGCCCAUAAAAAAUUCA
rnacentral:lncRNA from 1 species